rnacentral:rRNA from 1 species
GACGAACGCUGGCGGCGUGCCUAAUACAUGCAAGUAGAACGCUGAAGAGAGGAGCUUGCUCUUCUUGGAUGAGUUGCGAACGGGUGAGUAACGCGUAGGUAACCUGCCUUGUAGCGGGGGCUAACUAUUGGAAAUGAUAGUUAAUACUGCAUAACAAUGGAUGACACAUGUCACUUAUUUGAAAGGGGCACUUGCUCCCAUACAAGAUGGACCUGCGUUGUAUUAGCUAGUAGGUGAGGUAACGGCUCACCUAGGCGACUAUACAUAGCCGACCUGAGAGGGUGAUCGGCCACACUGGGACUGAGACACGACCCAGACUCCUACGGGAGGCAGCAGUAGGGAAUCUUCGGCAAUGGGGGCAACCCUGACCGAGCAACGCCGCGUGAGUGAAGAAGGUUUUCGGAUCGUAAAGCUCUGUUGUAAGUCAAGAACGAGUGUGAGAGUGGAAAGUUCACACUGUGACGGUAGCUUACCAGAAAGGGACGGCUAACUACGUGCCAGCAGCCGCGGUAA